rnacentral:pre_miRNA from 1 species
ACUAGGAUGGGGGGUCCCUCAGCCCAGAUUGUGAGAGGGCGCAAGCCAGGCCAAGGGACCCCACCGGUGCAUG